rnacentral:misc_RNA from 1 species
GGAACAGUGGGAGUGUAAAGCGAAAAAAUUUAGUUUGACCUGUAUUUUAAGUUUUUGAGUAAGAUAAGAUGAUGGUAUAAAUGUCAUGUCAGCCAUUGUAAUUUCAAUUGGGAAAGAUGGGUAGUAAAUCAAAUUGCUAGCUCAACAACAGUGUUCCCAAAUUCAAACAAAAAUCAUUGAAAGGAAAUAACUUUUUGAUGGAUUUCAACCAAAACAAAUGAUUAUAUACCUAAAUUCUCAAACUUUUUUUAACUCAACAAACAUAAGAAGGGAAAUGAGAUGAAUAAAUUAAA